rnacentral:lncRNA from 1 species
CCGCGGCUGCUGGGAGAACGCGCCCGGAGCCCCCUCCUUUUCCAGGGGCUCACCUCCCGCCCGGUGCCCGGUGCCCGGUGCCCGACGCUCCGCCUCCUCCCAGCCUUCGGCCCUCGGGUUUUCGCCCGGAUACCCUAGGCGCCUCCGGGACAUCUCCACAUCUUUGCCUACGGCGCCUAGCCCAGUACCAACCGGUGCUUGGUCUUCCCGUUCGCUAAAAAUUUAUUAUAAUAACAACAACCUAGCAUUACUGAGUGCUUACUGUGUACUAAGUGACUUGACAGGCAUUAUUUCAUUCGGUCUCCGUGGCCCUAGAGUUGAUCUUUGAACAACAUGAGUUUGACCUGCAUGGAUCCACAUAUACGUGAAUUUCCUUCCGCCUCUACCACUCCUGAGACAGCGAGACAAACCUCUCCUCUUCCUCUUCCUCUUCCUCCUCAGCCUACUCAGUGUGAAGACCUUUAUGAUGAUCCAUGUCCACUGAAUGAAUAGACCUCACGAAGCCAGACCGUAAGAUCUACAGGGGCUCUCAGACACCACCCCAUCCAACAGCUCGAAGAAGGAACCAGAGAAGACUAGAAACAGGAUGGAACGGGAAGGUGGAGGGAGAGGCGAAGGGGAAGUCUCGAUGCUGACUACAAGGCCCCCUCAUCCUCCGGCCUCCGGCUUGCAGGGACUGCCCCUGCCUUGGGAGAGUCCUCACAGGCCACACCUGCCACUGGGCCAGGCCCAGAGCAGACACUCACGACAGAUGAUAAGAAUGACAGCUGCCUGCGUUUGAGCAGGCACUCUAGGUGACUGUUGUACACAGUGCUUUUCAAGCAUAAUCUACCCUAACCUUCACACCAGCCCUGUGGGGUAGGUGAAUCUCACCCCAUCUUACAGAGGAGGAAACAGGGGUUUGGAGUGGUUGAGUGACUUGCUGUCAGACAAGUCUAAAUCUGACAGCAACGCCUGUGUUUGGAUCCCAUGCCAGAGACUGCGAGCUAGCCCCAGGCUGGUUCCAGGCUGUACACAGGUUUCACUUGAUUCACACACAUGGGGCCUCCUCAGAGUUUUAAAUUUUAUUUGUUGUCAACAUUUAGCAAUCAGAAGAGUUAACAUUAAAUCUCACAUUUCUGAAUUCUCUAGAAAAAUUAGGACAUCAGGCUCCACUGGGCUUAUGUUUCCUCCUGGGAAUAAUUGGCUGAGCUGGGUAGCAGCUGACCCCUUUACAUCAGACUCUUCUGCCUUGUUUGCCCCAGCCCUCACCACUCCCUAUUGUACCUCCAACACCAAAGACAAGAAUCAAAGGCCACUUUUCACCCCCUUCCUGGUCCACUCCAUUCACUCAUGGUAUCCACGUAGCCCUGUGAGCAGGGGUUUGUGACUCUGCCACUAAGCUAUAUGGCUUCAUGGAUGGAUGGAUGAGGGGAGGGAAAGACAGAAGGAUGGGAAGGGCUGGGGAGAUUUCAGCUGCCUGCUCAGGAAGUACCUAUGGACAAUGCCCAGCAUCCUACAGCCAGCUCACCAACCCCUAACUGUGCUGCAGGACUGCAGGAUGCCUGUCCUGACAAGUUGGCCUGCUCAUCCUCUUCCCCCGAAACCCAGGCCCUGAGAGUCCCCAGCAGCAUGAAGGCCUCACCCUUCGUGCAGCGAUCCAUCGGUCACCACCUAGGGCAGAGCAGGCCCACCUUUGAUGCAGAAGAAAUGAGAUGAGGCGGGCAAGUGCCUGCCAGUGCCCAGUACAAGGUGGGAAGUCAGGGAAUCGUGAGCAUCAGAGAGGCCACGUGAGCAGUUGCCAUGCUGGCCCCUGAUGCUGGGG